CGCAGUCAAGAGAUCUUUAUUGGCGGUAUCGAGCGGAGAAGGAAGAGAAGAGGAGAGAGAGAGCUGCUAGUGUGCUGGGUUUUAUAUCCCUUGGGCCUACGUGGGGCAGGCCCAAGGGAAGGCGGAAGAUGCUUCUUUCUGAUUGGCCCUCCUUUGGCGGAUUCAGACAGUGCCCAGUCAAGGAGGGGAGGAGAACCUGGAACUGGCGCCAUUAAGAACAGCAAGCACUCCCAUGUAGAAGCGACAAGAAAAUGCAGCAGAGGCAGGGUGCAAAGGGGAGGAGAAAGCUUUGCGGUUAUGAUGAAGGAACUCUAUUUCUGCGGUUUGAUGAGACAGGAGGAAGGAGUCUAUGCCUGCCUGAUUUCGGCUCUGCUGGAGGGCACACUGAAGAUUAUUCCAAGAGGCACGUUUUGGGGAAGAGGGAAAGAAGAGUCAUGGUCUUGUCUGUUUUCCUUACCCCCCACUGUCUUACCAGAUCUCACAUGUUACAGAAUAAAUAAAAGCUACUAAAGUAAGGUGUGAACCACUAGUCCUUAAGGUACCC